GCGAGGGCGACCGAGCGUGGGAAGGAAGCGUGGAGCGAAACCGCGUGCCGAUGGACAAGAACCGGAUACGAGGCGCCGCCGGUCAGGGCGAGCAGGCAAUUGACUGCAAAGCUCUCGCGGCCAAGGGCCAGGCGGCGUAAAUCCGGCGUUGGUGCGGUGAAGGAUCGCGUUC
rfam:Betaproteobacteria bacterium RIFCSPLOWO2_12_FTLL_68_19 rifcsplowo2_12_scaffold_5216, whole genome shotgun sequence.